CCUACGGGUGGCUGCAGUGGGGAAUAUUGGACAAUGGGGGGAACCCUGAUCCAGCCAUGCCGCGUGUGUGAAGAAGGCCCUCGGGUUGUAAAGCACUUUCAGUGAGGAAGAACGCCUGGUGGUUAAUACCCAUCAGGAAAGACAUCACUCACAGAAGAAGCACCGGCUAACUCCGUGCCAGCAGCCGCGGUAAUACGGAGGGUGCGAGCGUUUAUCGGAAUUACUGGGCGUAAAGCGCGCGUAGGUGGCUUGAUAAGCCGGUUGUGAAAGCCCCGGGCUCAACCUGGGAACGGCAUCCGGAACUGUCAAGCUAGAGUGCAGGAGAGGAAGGUAGAAUUCCCGGUGUAGCGGUGAAAUGCGUAGAGAUCGGGAGGAAUACCAGUGGCGAAGGCGGCCUUCUGGACUGACACUGACACUGAGGUGCGAAAGCGUGGGUAGCAAACAGGAUUAGAUACCCGGGUAGUC
rnacentral:rRNA from 1 species